AGUCGAACGGAACUGUUUUGAAAGAUUUCUUCGGAAUGAAUUUGAUUUAGUUUAGUGGCGGACGGGUGAGUAACGCGUGAGUAACCUGCCUUCAAGAGGGGGAUAACAUUCUGAAAAGAAUGCUAAUACCGCAUGAUAUAUCGGAAUCACAUGAUUUUGAUAUCAAAGAUUUUAUCGCUUGAAGAUGGACUCGCGUCCGAUUAGUUAGUUGGUGAGGUAACGGCUCACCAAGACCGCGAUCGGUAGCCGGACUGAGAGGUUGAACGGCCACAUUGGGACUGAGACACGGCCCAGACUCCUACGGGAGGCAGCAGUGGGGGAUAUUGCGCAAUGGGGGCAACCCUGACGCAGCAACGCCGCGUGAAGGAUGAAGGUUUUCGGAUUGUAAACUUCUUUUAUUAAGGACGAAACUUGACGGUACUUAAUGAAUAAGCUCCGGCUAACUACGUGCCAGCAGCCGCGGUAAUACGUAGGGAGCAAGCGUUGUCCGGAUUUACUGGGUGUAAAGGGUGCGUAGGCGGCUUUGCAAGUCAGAUGUGAAAUCUAUGGGCUCAACCCAUAAACUGCAUUUGAAACUGUAGAGCUUGAGUGAAGUAGAGGCAGGCGGAAUUCCCCGUGUAGCGGUGAAAUGCGUAGAGAUGGGGAGGAACACCAGUGGCGAAGGCGGCCUGCUGGGCUUUAACUGACGCUGAGGCACGAAAGCGUGGGUAGCAAACAGGAUUAGAUACCCUGGUAGUCCACGCUAUAAACGAUGAUUACUAGGUGUGGGGGGUCUGACCCCUUCCGUGCCGGAGUUAACACAAUAAGUAAUCCACCUGGGG
rnacentral:rRNA from 1 species